rnacentral:rRNA from 1 species
UAAGAAUCUUCCGCAAUGGGGGAAACCCUGACGGAGCGACGCCGCGUGGAUGAUGAAGGCCGUAAGGUUGUAAAAUCCUUUUGUCGGUGAAGAAUAAGCGGGGGAGUGGAAAGCCCUCGUGAUGACGUUAGCCGACGAAUAAGCCCCGGCUAAUUACGUGCCAGCAGCCGCGGUAAUACGUAUGGGGCAAGCGUUGUUCGGAUUUAUUGGGCGUAAAGGGCGUGUAGGCGGCUCAUCAAGUCUGGUGUGAAAUGGAUAGGCUUAACCUGUCAUAUGCGCUGGAAACUGGUGGGCUUGAGUUCUUGAGGGGAAGCUGGAAUUCCAGGUGUAGGGGUGAAAUCUGUAGAUAUCUGGAAGAACACCGGUGGCGAAGGCGAGCUUCUAUCAGAGGACUGACGCUGAGGCGCGAAAGCGUGGGGAGCAAAC